rnacentral:rRNA from 1 species
UACGUAGGGGGCAAGCGUUGUCCGGAAUUAUUGGGCGUAAAGGGCUCGUAGGCGGUUUGUCACGUCGGGAGUGAAAACUCAGGGCUUAACCCUGAGCCUGCUUCCGAUACGGGCAGACUAGAGGUAUGCAGGGGAGAACGGAAUUCCCAGUGUAGCGGUGAAAUGCGUAGAUAUUGGGAGGAACACCAGUGGCGAAGGCGGCUCACUGGACCGGUACUGACGCUGAGGCGGCGAAAGCGGUGGGUAGCAAACAGG